rnacentral:rRNA from 1 species
AUUGAACGCUGGCGGCAGGCCUAACACAUGCAAGUCGAGCGGAGCGGCGGACGGGUGAGUAAUGCCUAGGACUCUGCAUGGUAGUGGGGGCUAACGUCCGGCAACGGGCGCUAAUACCGCAUACUAUCAGAUGAGCCUAGGUCGGAUUAGCUAGUUGUGGGGGUAAAGGCCUACCAAGGCGACGAUCCGUAACCGGUCUGAGCGGAUAAUCAGUCACACUUGAACUGGGACACGGACCAUACUCCUACGGUAGGCAGCAGUGGGGAAUAUUUGACAAUGGACGAAAUCCUGAUCCAGCCAUGCCGCGUGUGUGAAGAAGGUCUUCGGAUUGUAAAGCACUUUAAGUUUGGAGGCGUUACCAACAGAAUAAGCACCGGCUAACUUCGUGCCAGCAGCCGCGGUAAUAC